rnacentral:rRNA from 1 species
AUGCGUUGUUGGGUAGGGGAGCGUUCUGUAAGCCUGUGAAGGUGUACUGUGAGGUAUGCUGGAGGUAUCAGAAGUGCGAAUGCUGACAUAAGUAACGAUAAAGCGGGUGAAAAGCCCGCUCGCCGGAAGACCAAGGGUUCCUGUCCAACGUUAAUCGGGGCAGGGUGAGUCGACCCCUAAGGCGAGGCCGAAAGGCGUAGUCGAUGGGAAACAGGUUAAUAUUCCUGUACUUGGUGUUACUGCGAAGGGGGGACGGAGAAGGCUAUGUUGGCCGGGCGACGGUUGUCCCGGUUUAAGCGUGUAGGCUGGUUUUCCAGGCAAAUCCGGAAAAUCAAGGCUGAGGCGUGAUGACGAGGCACUACGGUGCUGAAGCAACAAAUGCCCUGCUUCCAGGAAAAGCCUCUAAGCAUCAGGUAACAUCAAAUCGUACCCCAAACCGACACAGGUGGUCAGGUAGAGAAUACCAAGGCGCUUGAGAGAACUCGGGUGAAGGAACUAGGCAAAAUGGUGCCGUAACUUCGGGAGAAGGCACGCUGAUAUGUAGGUGAAGUCCCUCGCGGAUGGAGCUGAAAUCAGUCGAAGAUACCAGCUGGCUGCAACUGUUUAUUAAAAACACAGCACUGUGCAAACACGAAAGUGGACGUAUACGGUGUGACGCCUGCCCGGUGCCGGAAGGUUAAUUGAUGGGGUUAGCGCAAGCGAAGCUCUUGAUCGAAGCCCCGGUAAACGGCGGCCGUAACUAUAACGGUCCUAAGGUAGCGAAAUUCCUUGUCGGGUAAGUUCCGACCUGCACGAAUGGCGUAAUGAUGGCCAGGCUGUCUCCACCCGAGACUCAGUGAAAUUGAACUCGCUGUGAAGAUGCAGUGUACCCGCGGCAAGACGGAAAGACCCCGUGAACCUUUACUAUAGCUUGACACUGAACAUUGAGCCUUGAUGUGUAGGAUAGGUGGGAGGCUUUGAAGUGUGGACGCCAGUCUGCAUGGAGCCGACCUUGAAAUACCACCCUUUAAUGUUUGAUGUUCUAACGUUGACCCGUAAUCCGGGUUGCGGACAGUGUCUGGUGGGUAGUUUGACUGGGGCGGUCUCCUCCUAAAGAGUAACGGAGGAGCACGAAGGUUGGCUAAUCCUGGUCGGACAUCAGGAGGUUAGUGCAAUGGCAUAAGCCAGCUUGACUGCGAGCGUGACGGCGCGAGCAGGUGCGAAAGCAGGUCAUAGUGAUCCGGUGGUUCUGAAUGGAAGGGCCAUCGCUCAACGGAUAAAAGGUACUCCGGGGAUAACAGGCUGAUACCGCCCAAGAGUUCAUAUCGACGGCGGUGUUUGGCACCUCGAUGUCGGCUCAUCACAUCCUGGGGCUGAAGUAGGUCCCAAGGGUAUGGCUGUUCGCCAUUUAAAGUGGUACGCGAGCUGGGUUUAGAACGUCGUGAGACAGUUCGGUCCCUAUCUGCCGUGGGCGCUGGAGAACUGAGGGGGGCUGCUCCUAGUACGAGAGGACCGGAGUGGACGCAUCACUGGUGUUCGGGUUGUCAUGCCAAUGGCACUGCCCGGUAGCUAAAUGCGGAAGAGAUAAGUGCUGAAAGCAUCUAAGCACGAAACUUGCCCCGAGAUGAGUUCUCCCUGACUCCUUGAGAGUCCUGAAGGAACGUUGAAGACGACGACGUUGAUAGGCCGGGUGUGUAAGCGCAGCGAUGCGUUGAGCUAACCGGUACUAAUGAACCGUGAGG